rnacentral:rRNA from 1 species
AAACGNAUACAUACUCAGCGGGCGAACGGGUGAGUAACACGUGGGUAAUCUUCCUCCGAGCGUGGGAUAACUUUCCGAAAGCNNGGAGUCUAAUACUGGAUAGUCCCGAGAGGUCAUAGGAUUUGGCUGGUAACCAUUUAUUGCUCGUGAGAUGAGCCCGCCCCCCUAUUAUCUAGUUGAGUGACGUAAUGGCUCUCCACUGCGACAAUCGGUUCCCGGCCUGAGAGGAUGAUUAGCCACGUUGGAACUGACACUCCGUCCCUACUCAUUGCUGAUGCGCUUGUUUUGAAUGUUGCUCACUGGCCGCAA